CCGCGCCGUGCCGCGCCGGGGAGCGCCGGGGAGCGCCGUGCCGCGCCGCCGCCUUCAGCACCAAGAACAGCUACAAGUGCGGCCGCGCCCUGCCCGCCCCGCCCGCCCCGCCGGAGCCGCGGCGAGGGGAGGAGGAAUAAGGAAGGAGGCAGCGGAGCGGGUUCGGCUUGGCUAAUCGCGAGUGUUAUGCAGCACUACUGAAAUCGCUCUCCUGGCUACCUGUCCCAGGCUGAGAUCCUGCAUAUUAAACUGACGCUACUGGGGGAAGCUAUUUGAGACGAGGGUUGUACAGAAAUUACCUCAUGCUAUUCCCGAUCGGCGCCGAGUAUUAAUCCCAGUGACCUCUACAGUAAUAUGGAUAUGCAACUCUUUUCGAUCAAGCUCUAACAAAAGAGAUCCCGGGCACGGUGCCGUCUCAGCAGCGAGCAAAAAGGGAGGAUACCGGUGCUCCUGAAGAGUGAGCUUGCCUCCUUAACUGGGUCGUCUCCCACCCCCGAGGGGAAGGGGACACAGGGAACCCCCUGUUCACGUUUCGCUGGCCGGGAGGGAAGCGGGGGCUCCCGCCGCUGCGGGGGGACGGGGCCAGCCCUGCCCGCCGCCGCCAACUUCUCGCUCGGCUCCGGCUCCGGGGCCGGGGCCGGGGCCGGGGUCGGGCGAGCUGCCGGCCGCCCGCUUGUACCGCACCGCACCGCACCGCUUGCCGGGUGGGCUCCGCUCCCUCGGCUCCGCGGGGGAGAACCCCGUGUCCCUGGGGUGGGAAAGGGGACGGGGGAUCCCCGCCGGGCUCCGGGGGCUUCCUCCCCCGAGGAAGAGGGCGAGAGGCCGUGCCGGCCCGCGGCGAGGGGUUAGCUGUCCGCGGCGCGGAGCAGCAUCCCCCAGCGCUGGCGUGUGUUUGUUGCGGGAAUCCGAAGUGUUGGGAGGUGAACGUGUAACACGGUUAAAAAAAACCCCACCACAAAACCCAACACAACGCAAGUAAUAAAAAUCGAUCAGUGACCCAAAGUGCAUGCAAAUCCGGCGUUGGCAUUUUGGAGUUCGCAAGCUUCUGACCUCUGGGACCGGGGAUUCAUUACAGGAGACUUAGGUUUUCAUUGAGGGGGAACAGAAGCGCAUUAAAGCUGACCAGUUGAUGCGAGGAGAGGAAGGAAUCACCAGCGGCUGUAAAUAAAAGGCGACGCUCGUGCUUGCAUCGCGGAGGUGCGGUUGCUGCCGGCCGGGGAUCAGGGCUCGGAGGGGACCGCCGGAGCCUCGGCUCCAGCCGGGGGAUCCGCAUGUGCCCGCCGCCCGCCGCGCACGGACCGCCUCGGCUGCAAGGCCGCGGAGUGAGGCGAUUUAAACCCGUCCUACGGCCGCUAACUGGAAGGAGCGAGGCCCCGGGGAGAGCCGCGCCGAGGCUGUGCCGGAAUCCCUCAACGACAGGCGCCAGCUGGGAAGUACCUCAGCUGCAGGGCAAAAUACAAGGACGUAAGCUCCUGACCUCCUCUUAGCAUCAGGAUCAGACAUUCUACCCUACACUUCACCAUCAAUUAAGAGCAAUUGAAAACCACAUCUCAGAAAAGCUGAUCAACCCAUGACAUCAGUGGACAUCUUUUGUAAAGCACGUUUUAUGUACUUCUGCUGAGAUCCUUUUUCUACCUACUGCAUGGUUCUGUAUUACUUACUGGGCACUGAUGGUAGCCUCCAGAAAGUGCAGCGUCAAAUGGUCAACCUCAUCCUUUAGCAAGAAGAAAAUCUGGAUACUGGAUAGCAACAACGUCUUCAGAGAAAAUGGUAUACGAAGGAAAACGAUUAGUUUCCUGCCAUUGUUUCUUCCUGUUAACAGCCAAAUUCUACUGGAUACUCACCCUGAUGCAAAGAACUCAUGGCCAGGAAUAUGCCCACUCCAUCCGACUGGAUGGGGACAUCAUCUUGGGAGGACUGUUCCCCGUCCACGCAAAAGGGGAUAGAGGGGUGCCUUGUGGGGAGCUCAAGAAGGAGAAAGGGAUCCACAGACUAGAGGCAAUGCUGUAUGCAAUUGAUCAGAUUAAUAAAGACCCUGAUCUUCUUGCCAAUAUCACCUUAGGUGUCCGGAUCCUUGAUACGUGUUCCAGGGACACUUACGCAUUGGAGCAGUCCUUAACAUUUGUGCAAGCGUUGAUAGAAAAAGAUGGUUCAGACGUGAAGUGUGCUAAUGGUGACCCACCUAUUUUCACUAAGCCAGACAAGAUAUCAGGUGUGAUAGGUGCUGCAGCAAGUUCUGUGUCCAUUAUGGUCGCAAAUAUUUUAAGACUUUUUAAGAUACCUCAAAUCAGCUAUGCAUCUACAGCUCCAGAACUGAGCGAUAACACCAGGUAUGACUUUUUCUCUCGAGUGGUCCCACCGGACUCCUACCAAGCACAGGCCAUGGUUGACAUCGUGACGGCCCUUGGGUGGAACUACGUGUCGACGCUGGCUUCCGAAGGCAACUACGGAGAGAGUGGCGUGGAGGCGUUCACCCAGCUCUCCAGGGAAAUUGGAGGUGUUUGCAUUGCUCAGUCACUCAAAAUCCCUCGGGAGCCAAGACCAGGAGAAUUUGAAAAGAUCAUCAAGCGCUUGUUGGAAACUCCAAAUGCUCGAGCAGUGAUCAUGUUUGCGAAUGAAGAUGAUAUUAGGCGAAUACUGGAAGCAGCCAAAAAAGCUAAUCAAUCUGGACAUUUCCUCUGGAUUGGCUCAGAUAGUUGGGGGUCAAAAAUUUCACCAGUUCAGCAGCAGGAGGAGAUUGCGGAAGGAGCAGUAACCAUUCUGCCCAAAAGAACAUCAAUAGAUGGAUUUGAUAGAUAUUUUCGGAGCCGAACACUUGCUAACAAUCGAAGAAAUGUCUGGUUUGCAGAAUUUUGGGAGGAGAACUUUGGAUGCAAGUUAGGAUCACAUGGAAAAAGAAAUAGCAAUAUCAAGAAAUGCACAGGCUUAGAAAGAAUUGCAAGAGAUUCAGCCUAUGAGCAAGAAGGAAAAGUUCAGUUUGUAAUUGAUGCGGUAUAUUCCAUGGCCUAUGCACUACACAACAUGCAUAAAGAUCUCUGUCCUGGAUAUAUUGGUCUAUGCCCAAGGAUGAGCACAACUGAUGGUAAAGAACUACUUAGCUAUAUCCGGGCAGUAAACUUUAAUGGGAGUGCUGGAACACCUGUUAUCUUCAAUGAAAAUGGAGAUGCUCCUGGACGCUAUGAUAUUUUUCAGUAUCAAAUCACCAACAAGAGUGCAGAAUACAAAGUAAUUGGUCAAUGGACUAACCAACUUCAUCUAAAUGUAGAAGACAUGCAGUGGGCUAACAGAGAACACACUCAUCCAGCAUCUGUCUGCAGCCUGCCCUGUAAAGCUGGGGAAAGAAAGAAAACCGUGAAGGGAGUGCCCUGCUGCUGGCACUGCGAACGCUGCGAGGGGUACCAUUACCAGGUGGAUGAAUUCAACUGCGAACUGUGCCCCAUUAAUAAGAGACCAAACGCCAACCGUACAGAUUGCCAGCUUAUCCCUAUAAUCAAACUGGAGUGGCAUUCUCCUUGGGCCAUCGUGCCCGUCUUCAUAGCUAUUCUUGGUAUAAUUGCCACCACCUUUGUGAUUGUGACAUUCGUCCGGUACAACGACACACCGAUCGUCAGGGCCUCUGGACGGGAGCUCAGUUAUGUGCUCUUGACUGGGAUUUUUCUCUGUUACUCCAUUACUUUUUUAAUGAUCGCGACUCCUGAUACAGUGGUCUGCUCGUUUCGAAGGAUCUUUUUAGGACUUGGCAUGUGUUUCAGCUAUGCUGCCUUGCUUACCAAAACAAACAGGAUUCACAGAAUAUUUGAACAAGGUAAAAAGUCUGUCACAGCUCCCAAAUUUAUUAGUCCAGCUUCCCAGCUGGUGAUCACUUUCAGCCUCAUAUCCAUGCAGCUUAUUGGAGUCUUCAUCUGGUUUGCUAUCGAUCCACCACAUACCAUCGUAGACUAUGGAGAGCAGAGGACACUUGAACCAGAAAAUGCCAGGGGAGUUCUCAAAUGUGACAUUUCAGAUCUUUCUCUCAUUUGUUCCCUUGGAUACAGUAUUCUCUUGAUGGUCACAUGCACUGUUUAUGCUAUUAAAACAAGAGGGGUUCCAGAGACCUUCAACGAAGCCAAACCCAUUGGAUUUACCAUGUACACAACCUGCAUAAUUUGGUUAGCUUUUAUCCCAAUCUUUUUUGGUACGGCCCAAUCAGCAGAGAAGAUUUUAGAUUUUCACGGAAGUGGAGGAAGGCUAUCAGUAAUGUGGAUAAGAAAAGGAGAUUACUGCAAAAUAUCUGCAUUUGUCAAGGAACAUAUGUGCAACACAAUAUCAAAUGAGGAAAAACAAGUGUCAUAUGUACAUCCAGACAACAACACUUACUGUCUCCAUGAGUUUAAGUGCUUCUGUGUCUCUGGGCAUGCUCUACAUGCCCAAGGUUUAUAUUAUCAUUUUUCAUCCAGAGCAGAAUGUUCAAAAACGGAAGCGGAGCUUCAAGGCUGUAGUGACAGCUGCCACAAUGCAAAGCAAACUGACCCAAAAAGGAAAUGACAGACCAAAUGGCGAGGUCAAAACUGAACUGUGUGAAAGUCUUGAAACCAACAGUAAGUCAUCUGUAGACUUUCCCAUGGUCAAGAGUGGCAGCACUUCCUAAUAGAUCCUCUUCUACCAAGACAACUUAUGUCAGUUACAGCAAUCAGGCAAACUGAGCAGGGAUGAAAUUCACUGGAAGACCUGCAGGAUGGGAUCUUACAAACAUAGACUUUACCACCACCAGAAUUCAGUCUUGGAAAUAUCAGUAGACUACAUUCAAAUCAAUAGUCAGUCUCCUAAAGGACAAGGAUUAAACAAGAGGCAAAAGGCAAAAAGAGACAGGGGAAGGAAAAGUCCAGUUUUAUAACAUAGAGACAGUGUCAAGCUUCUGAACUGUUCACUCACAAAAGGAAGCAAAUCACAAAUGGAGAACAAAUGUUAGCUUGUGAAAAAAAAAAAAGCUGUUGAAAUAAAUCAUGUCUGAUGUUAUAUUUGUAAGUACUUUUUUGUGAUUGUGACAAUUUCCUUUCCUGUCCUACAUUGUUCAACUCGUAAAAGAAGAGUUUGUUUCUUGUGGCGGCUGACUGAAUUAAGUCCUGGGUUAUGCUAAAAUAAAUGCAGUGGUCAACGCAUGCUAAUUUUUAUACAAAAUAAUUUAUUUCUAAUAAUAAAGGAAUGUUUUGCAAAUGUUGAGACUUGUUUUGUUGCAGUUUUAAGGAAAAAAAGUCCUUACACUGUUGUCUAUUGUUUGUUUAGAAUGUGCAGUAAAGGUGAGUGUACAAAUAAAAUAAUAAUCAUGGCAUCAGAAGAAUGCAGUGUAAACUCUAAGCAUGUGUGUGUGUGUAUGUGUGCACGCGUGCGUGUAUGUACGUGCAUGCCUGCAUGAGUGUGCGUGUGUGUACUCUGCAGUGUGCGUGAAUUUAUUUGUUCAAAGCUUUGUGACUAUAUUUUCUAAUGGAAGGAUUUUUUUCCCGCUUCUCACCUGGAAAGUAAGUGCAUUUUAUAUGUUUGUAAAGUGAAGGAGUCCUGAUGGUAAUUAUUUUGUAUGAUUGUAUUAUAUUUUUGAACCUUCACUAAUACUUUUGAUCUUUUUCAUUUCUGGAACUUACAGUUUGUAAGACUUUAUAACAGCUAGACUGGAUUAAGCUGAAAGUCUAUUCAGCCUAGUAUCCUGUCUCUGACAGGGGAAUGUAGCAGAUGCUUAUCAAUAAAGGUGACUUUGAAAUAACAGGAGAGAAAUCAAUGGAGAAUUUGGAAAGCAGUGGAUAUAUGUACUAUUGCCUUAUUAACACUUAAAAAAUCAAAGAAAUAGAUGUCCAUCUACAAUCUUCACAUCUUCUAACUCCCAUGUCAAAUGAUUAUGCAUACAUUAGAAAUUAUUAUGCAAAGAGAAAGAGAAAUUCAUAUAGAUAACUAUCAUGUUAAUAAAUCCCUCCAAAGAAUUUUAAAAAAGACAGGUAGGGACUUUCCACUUUGUAACUCUACCUUUGAUGUUCUUUAAGACUUUUUCACUCCAUACACUACGUACUAUUCGUGAACUCAAUGGGUCUUCACAAUCAGUUGGUUAUUAAAUGUUAUUUCUCCUGAA